rnacentral:rRNA from 1 species
GACAGAGGGUGCAAACGUUGUUCGGAUUUACUGGGCGUAAAGCGCGUGUAGGCGGCUUUGCAAGUCGGAUGUGAAAGCCCACGGCUCAACCGUGGGAGUGCAUCCGAAACUGCAUGGCUGGAGUCUCGGAGAGGAAGGUGGAAUGCUUGGUGUAGAGGUGAAAUUCGUAGAUAUCAAGCAGAACACCUGCGGCGAAGGCGGCCUUCUGGACGAUGACUGACGCUGAGACGCGAAAGCGUGGGGAGCAAACAGG